rnacentral:rRNA from 1 species
AGAGUUUGAUCCUGGCUCAGAUUGAACGCUGGCGGCAUGCCUAACACAUGCAAGUCGAACGGCAGCGCGGGGGUAACCCUGGCGGCGAGUGGCGGACGGGUGAGGAAUGCAUAGGAAUCUGCCCGGUUGUGGGGGAUAACGUAGGGAAACUUACGCUAAUACCGCAUACGACCUUCGGGUGAAAGUGGGGGACCUUCGGGCCUCACGCGAUCGGAUGAGCCUAUGCCCGAUUAGCUAGUUGGCGGGGUAAGAGCCCACCAAGGCGACGAUCGGUAGCUGGUCUGAGAGGAUGAUCAGCCACACUGGGACUGAGACACGGCCCAGACUCCUACGGGAGGCAGCAGUGGGGAAUAUUGGACAAUGGGCGCAAGCCUGAUCCAGCAAUGCCGCGUGUGUGAAGAAGGCCUUCGGGUUGUAAAGCACUUUUGUUCGGGAAGAAAUCCGUGUGGUUAAUACCCGUACGGGAUGACGGUACCGAAAGAAUAAGCACCGGCUAACUUCGUG